rnacentral:tRNA from 1 species
AAAAUAUUCUGGUGAUGCGAGAGUUUUCUAAACUUGUUAGCAGAGAGGUUCGAUUCCUUUUUAUUUUU